AUUGAACGCUGGCGGCAGGCCUAACACAUGCAAGUCGAGCGAGCGGCGGACGGGUGAGUAAUGUAUGGGGCCUGCCCGAUAGAGGGGGAUAACUACUGGAAACGGUGGCUAAUACCGCAUACUAUCGGAUAACCCAUAUGGGAUUAGCUAGUGGGUGGGGUAAAGGCUCACCUAGGCGACGAUCGCUAGCUGGUCUGAGAGGAUGAUCCGACAAACUGGAACUGAGAAAGGGCCCAGAAUCCGAGGGAGGCAGCAGUGGGGAAUAUUGGAAAAUGGGCGAAAGCCUGAUGCAGCCAUGCCGCGUGUAUGAAGAAGGCCUUAGGGUUGUAAAGUACUUUCAGCGGGGAGGCGUUACCCGCAGAAGAAGCAACGGCUAACUACGUGCCAGCAGCCGCGGUAAUAC
rnacentral:rRNA from 1 species